rnacentral:lncRNA from 1 species
GGUUGAUCUACAGGGAGCUAUGAGGAGUUAAAGCCUGAAGGCAGCAAGACAGAGAGACCAGGGCCAAGGGGCAAAUGCAAAACGCUGCUCUCCGGGCCAGCGCAGCCUGGGGAGGUUCUGAGUGGUCAUCAUGUGGCCCUUCCGCUCUCCCCGCAACUUUCAGGGGUGCUGCUGGCUGUCGGCUUGGCAACUGCGCUGCUGACAGGCCUGGGCCUUGUGCUGAGCCCCCCGCUGGCCCAGACCUGCCCAGUCAGAGCUUGGAGACUCCGGGGGAGGGGCCUCAGGGAGCCUCACGUGCCUGCUGACUGCGUGCCUCUCGGGGACAGCCUUACCGUCCGUGAAGACCUCGGUCCUCAGGGCUCUGGGGAAGGAGCCAGCUGCAGGCAGAGAGCCGUUCCCCGGGACACAGGUACCACGCCGGCGUGCAGGGAGCCACACCCUGUGAACACCCUAGAGGACUUCAGCGUCCGCACACUCUAUGACAAGCUUGAGGACCAGAGCCUGCACUUGGUGGCCCAGCUGAGCAAGCACAGGAGCGACGCACUGGCCUUCUACAGGGGCGCCAGCCAGCAACUCCAGGGGCUCAAGGACUUUCUGCAGGGCGUCAGCAUGACCGAGCGGCAAGAUCUGGGCAGAGGUGGAGACCUGGAGAUGGGAGCCAAAGCCACUGCCAGGACAGACACUGGGCAGAGAGAGGAAUGGUGCAGUGGUCACACUGCAGCUUCUCCAAGGGUGCGCUGGCAGCAUCCUCUAGGUGACUCUAGAGCUUUUCCUGGUUGUCGAGGCUUCUUCCUGCAGGACGUGGGGGUUGAGCUUCACUGCAGGGAAGCACGUGUUCAGUGCCCAUUGGGGCUCCCAAAGUGUGGCAGGACGGGGAUGGUGUGGAAGGACAUCCCUGGCCGCCUGCAUGCUUUCUGGCUUCAGCCAAACUCAAAGAUUACAGAGUCCAAAACCACGCAUCACCCUGGGCAGUUCUGGCGGACGACAGCUGUGGGUGUGCAGGCCCCCAGCUACCCCUAAAUGGCCCUCAUGUCCACAUGUUUGGGCCACAGAACAAAGCACAGCUCCGACUGCCAUUGAGGGUGACCCUGCCUUCAUGUUGUAAGUGGUCUGAGUCCGUCACCCCACUUUGCUUCUGGCCCCUCUCCCACCCUGUGAGUGCCCAGCAGGGGCCAGCCUGGGGAGGGAAGGGCGUCCGCAGCUGCUGUGUGCAAGGCCGUGUCAUAGUCCCCGCAGGCAGGGAAGUCCAGGACUUAGGGCUCUGUGGUCCCCUCACCCAGCAACUCUGACCAGCCAGUCCCACCCUCAGCUCUCGCUGGCAGUGGCUGCACGCUGCCGGAGACUCUGCAAGCCCCUCCUGUGCUCUGAGACAGGGGGAGUGUUCGUGCCUCCCUGGCCAGGAUCUGUGGGCGCUCGAGGAGGCUGUUCCCUUCUAGGAACAAACAGCCGUGGGCUCAGCAAGGACUCCCCAGCCCCAUAGCGUGAUCCGUGAAGGCCUAACCUCAAGGCAGGAAAAUCCAAGGUCGUUGCCGCAGGUCAUCCAUGUUUGAAUCCACACCUCAGCAUAAAAACAGCUGAUCUUCCGUCUCCUGGAGCAGCUUGUCAGACAGCAGAUUGUUGGCUUCUUAGAAACCAGUGGGUUGCAAUUAGCAUUAAAAAAAUAAACUAGAAAGGAAUAAAAUUGAAACUAUUGGAAGUAACACAUGUAUAAAGCUAGUCUUGCUUCCCGCAGCUCUCCUUGCUGUUUACACACACACACAGGAGGGUAGGAGCGAUGAAGUCUUAG